rnacentral:rRNA from 1 species
ACUAACAAGGAUUCCCCUAGUAACGGCGAGUGAAGAGGGAAAAGCUCAAAUUUGAAAUCUGGCAGUCUACGGCUGUCCGAGUUGUAAUCUAGAGAAGUGUUUUCCGUGCUGGACCGUGUACAAGUCCUUUGGAACAAGGCGUCAUAGAGGGUGAGAAUCCCGUCUACGACACGGACUCCCAGUGCUUUGUGAUACACUCUCAACGAGUCGAGUUGUUUGGGAAUGCAGCUCAAAAUGGGUGGUAAAUUCCAUCUAAAGCUAAAUAUGGGCGAAAGACCGAUAGCGAACAAGUACCGUGAGGGAAAGAUGAAAAGCACUUUGGAAAGAGAGUUAAACAGUACGUGAAAUUGUUGAAAGGGAAACGCUUGAAGUCAGUCGCGUCUUCAGAAACUCAGCCUGGCUUUCUGCCUGGUGUACUUUUCUGUAGGACGGGCCAGCAUCAGUUUUGGCUGCUAGAAAAAGGUGGGAGGAAGGUAGCACCAUGUGAGUGGUGUGUUUAUAGCCUCUCAUCGUAUGUGGCAGCUGGGACUGAGGACUGCAGCANGCCUUCAAUGGCCGGGGUUCGCCCACGUAACGUGCUUAGGAUGCUGGCGUAAUGGCUUUAAACGACCCGUCUUGAAACACGGACCAAGGAGUCUAACAUGCCUGCGAGUAUUUGGGUGGUAAACCCAUAUGCGGAAUGAAAGUGAACGGUUGGGACUUCUGUCAUGGAAGGCACCGACGCCCGGACCAGACCUACUGUGACGGAUCCGAGGUAGAGCAUGUAUGUUGGGACCCGAAAGAUGGUGAACUAUGCCUGAGUAGGGUGAAGCCAGAGGAAACUCUGGUGGAGGCUCGUAGCGAUUCUGACGUGCAAAUCGAUCGUCGAACUUGGGUAUAGGGGCGAAAGACUAAUCGAACCAUCUAGUANCUGGUUCCUGCCGAAGUUUCCCUCAGAUAGCAGAGACUCAUAUCAGAUUUAUGUGGUAAAGCGAAUGAUUAGGGGCCUUGGGGUUGAAAC